UCGCUUUACUUUCUAGAGCAAUUUUUUCAUCUUCAAUGGAUAUGAGAAGAGCUUCUAUCUCAACAACUUUGGACUCAUUAUUGCUUUCUAAUGCCUCUUUGUAUGACUGUAGUGAAGCUACAAUAGCUGAAGCUGGUUCCUCUGCAUUAGUAGUCUCACCCUCAAUCUCACUCUCAACAUCUUCUGAACCAGCAGUACUGUCUGAAUUGUCCUGUUAAAUAUGUAUUGCAAAAAGACUUUAGUAAGUACAUUUAAAAAAAAAAUGAAAUUAUGAAUAUUCUCUGUUAAUGUCUUUGAAGUUUGAAAACAUAAAAAAUUCCAUGUUUAAAAGCUAGACUUCAGUGAGACCACAGGAAAUAAAUCAUGGACAAGUACUAAUCAAGUCAAACUGCAGAACAAAUUUACAGAUACAAAAUUUCAGGCAAGCCUGUUAAUAGCACAAAUAUGAAGCAAUCAGAUAACAGCAUUAAGCAUGUAAAGCUCAGAGAAAAAGGCUUUGCUUGGCUCAACUGGCCAAGUGGCCAUGAAACACAGGAAUCACAUAAGUGACAAUGGUUCAUUUGAUAGAUAUCAACUAAAUUAUGGUUUCAAAUGGGACGACAGAGAAACUAAAAAACCCUGCAGUAGGGCAAGCGCAGAAGUGAAGAUUGAAAGCAUAAUAUUUCAUCCAUAUCAAUCAAAAAUUUACAGGCAGGCACAAAAGGGAACAGACAAAAUAAUUAAACAAAGAACGCAUCCAACAAAAUGUGUAUCACUCCAGGCAAGGUAAACUGAAGGCAACGAAAGCACUAUAGCCAGGAUCACUAGCUCGCACAAACUUCACACCAAAACUAUGAGACAUAUUCCAGUUAUAUCAACCAAGACAAUUGUUUAAGUCAUAUACUAUGUAACUAGAUCCUACUACAGUCCCG
rnacentral:lncRNA from 1 species